AUUUCCACAUUUGCAGAAUAAAGAAAAUAACAGCUAACUAGGCGGACUCUUGUGAGAAUUAAAAAAGAGGAUGGAGGUAAGAGUGUUCCAGUUUAUUGGGUCCAUUCACAAUUUGAGCAGAUUCCUGUCAUUCAAAUCAAGCUGGCUUACAGCAGUGGACUUAUGCAAGAGGAAGGUGCAAAGUCUAUUUUUAUUAACAAAUGUACUUGCUCAGUCUCCAAAGGAAGUGGCAAAACUGCUUCUUGCAUGAAAAACAGGAUUAACUAAAUGAAGAACUACAGCUAAUCUCUGAGCUUGCCCUGAUUGUUCUGGAGUGCUCUUCUCAAAAAUAAAAUUGGAAGGUCUUGGCUUCA